UUUGCUCUCUUUCCCAUCGACCUGUUCACAUGUGUGUCGUCUCCCGGUCCUGCAGAGAGACUGAGAGUCUAGUGACAAGGGCCUGCCAGCCACUUAACAAGGGGAAGGAGCUGUUAACAUCAGUGAAUGCAACAUUAAAACCUAGACAAAAUGCAUGGAAGACUUUCAAGAGUAAAUAGUAGCAGGUGAAUUGGGGAAGAAAAGCAGAAUUUGGAGUACCACUGAACUAGGGCCCUGGAUGCAGGAAGUACA